rnacentral:lncRNA from 1 species
ACAAUUCUCUCGUUUGGUAAGUAGGUGCUUUCCUCUCAUUUAGAGUUUUCUUUAUUCAUAGGAAAAUAAAAUUUUAACACCAUUUUUUUGACACCAUUUUGACACUGCACACGUGUCAAAAUGUGGUUGGACGAUUUCAAAUUAAAAAACAAACUUUGGUUUUUUUCUUCCAAAUAUAUCCCUGCCUCAACUUUUUUAAUUUGAAAUCGUCCAAUC